AGGUACUGGAUCCCAAAAGCUUGAUUCUCAAACAGCAUUAAGCUUCAGGAGGUCAUGUUUUCAAAGUCCAACCUCCUGCUUCAUUUUUUUCUCAUUGCAGAACUGCUGUAUGCAUGGCAUGAGAGAAAGGAUUCAAUUCACUGCAAUUGCUGCCUGAUUUCACAAAGAAUUUUUCUCUAAGGGACUUAAAUUUCAUCUAAAUUACAAAGGUAGGUCAUCCGCAGAAUAAUAUCACUAGUAAAAAAAAAAACAGAAAAAAAAAAAACAACCAG